rnacentral:rRNA from 1 species
UAUGUGAUCGUCUCUCGCAUAUCAAUAAGCGGAGGAAAAGAAACUAACAAGGAUUCCCCUAGUAACGGCGAGUGAAGUGGGAAGAGCUCAAAUUUGGAAUCUUAAAGGGUUUCCCUUUACGAAUUGUAGUUUAAAGGAAGUGUUUUCUGUUGAGGUUUUGGUAAAAGUUCUUUGGAAUAGGACAUCAUAGAGGGUGAGAAUCCCGUAUUUGACCUUUACUUUCAACUUUGUGAUACACUUUCAAAGAGUCGGAUUGUUUGGGAAUGCAGUCCAAAAUGGGUGGUAAAUUUCAUCUAAAGCUAAAUAUUGGCGAGAGACCGAUAGCGAACAAGUACCGUGAGGGAAAGAUGAAAAGAACUUUGAAAAGAGAGUUAAACAGUACGUGAAAUUGUCAAAAGGGAAGCGUUUGACACCAGUGUUGUUUUUCUGAAAAUCAAUUAAAGAACUGUUUAUGCUAAGUUGUUUAGACUUUAUCAGCUAUCUGCUUAGUUUUGAGCUUUUCUUUAAUGCACUUUUCAGUUAACAAGUCAACAUCAAUUUCUUUUGCUGUAAAAAAGCUUGAGGAAGGUGGCUUGAGAUUCGUCUUAAGUGUUUAUAGCCUCUUGCCUAUGCAGUCGGAGAGAUUGAGGUCUGCAGCGUAGAUCCUUCGGGGCUAAAUGCAUUUGUGCUAAGUUAUAGCAUUUUAUAGACAACUUGUUGACUAUGAUUUGUCUUGUAGCUUACUCGCUUAUGUUAUUUUACCUACGCUUAGGAUGUUGAGUAGCGACAUACGCAC